UACGGAGGGGGCGAGCGUUAUUCGGAAUUAUUGGGCGUAAAGGGCGCGUAGGCGGUUCGAUAAGUCAAAGGUGAAAUCCCUCGGCUCAACUGAGGAACUGCCUUUGAAACUGUCGAGCUUGAGUCCGGGAGGGGGUAGCGGAAUUCCCAGUGUAGCGGUGAAAUGCGUAGAUAUUGGGAGGAACACCGGUGGCGAAGGCGGCUACCUGGACCGGAACUGACGCUGAUGCGCGAAAGCGUGGGUAGCAAACAGGAUUAGAAACCCCCGUAGUCC
rnacentral:rRNA from 1 species